GGUGUAGCGGUGAAAUGCGUAGAUAUCGGGAAGAACACCAGUGGCGAAGGCGCUCUGCUGGGCCAUCACUGACGCUCAUGGACGAAAGCCAGGGGAGCGAAAGGGAUUAGAUACCCCUGUAGUCCUGGCCGUAAACGAUGAACACUAGGUGUCGGGGGAAUCGACCCCCUCGGUGUCGUAGCCAACGCGUUAAGUGUUCCGCCUGGGGAGUACGCACGCAAGUGUGAAACUCAAAGGAAUUGACGGGGGCCCGCACAAGCGGUGGAGUAUGUGGUUUAAUUCGAUGCAACGCGAAGAACCUUACCAGGGUUUGACAUCCUGCGAAUCUCUUGGAAACAGGAGAGUGCCUUCGGGAACGCAGUGACAGGUGGUGCAUGGCUGUCGUCAGCUCGUGUCGUGAGAUGUUGGGUUAAGUCCCGCAACGAGCGCAACCCACGUCUUUAGUUGCCAGCAUUUAGUUGGGCACUCUAGAGAGACUGCCGGUGAUAAACCGGAGGAAGGUGUGGAUGACGUCAAGUCAUCAUGCCCCUUACAUCCUGGGCUACACACGUACUACAAUGCUACGGACAAAGGGCUGCAAGUUCGCGAGGACAAGCAAAUCCCAUAAACCGUGGCUCAGUUCAGAUCGUAGGCUGCAACUCGCCUACGUGAAGGCGGAAUCGCUAGUAAUCGCAGGUCAGCAUACUGCGGUGAAUACGUUCCCGGGCCUUGUACACACCGCCCGUCACACCAUGGAAGUUGGCCACGCCCGAAGCCGUUACUCCAACCCUUGUGGAGGAGGACGUCGAAGGUGGGGCUGAUGACUGGGGUGAAGUCGUAACAAGGUAACCGUA
rnacentral:rRNA from 1 species